UAUUCUCAACCUUCAUAACUUUUGUUAUCGAAGGCUUGGACUUGGAGGUUGUGCUGGCUUCUAGUUAAGUCGGCUCCUCUUAAAUGUAUUAGCGUGAGUGUAACGGAUCGCUUCGGUGUGAUAAUUAUCUGCGCCGUGGUCGUGAAGUAACAUAAGCUUGCGCUUCUAACCGUCCUUCAGUUGGACAAUUACUUUGAC
rnacentral:misc_RNA from 1 species